AACGAACGCUGGCGGCAUGCCUAACACAUGCAAGUCGAACGAGACCUUCGGGUCUAGUGGCGCACGGGUGCGUAACGCGUGGGAACCUGCCCUUAGGUUCGGAAUAACUCCCCGAAAGGGGUGCUAAUACCGGAUAAUGUCUUCGGACCAAAGAUUUAUCGCCUUUGGAUGGGCCCGCGUUGGAUUAGCUAGUUGGUAGGGUAAAAGCCUACCAAGGCGACGAUCCAUAGCUGGUCUGAGAGGAUGAUCAGCCACACUGGGACUGAGACACGGCCCAGACUCUUACGGGAGGCAGCAGUGGGGAAUAUUGGACAAUGGGCGAAAGCCUGAUCCAGCAAUGCCGCGUGAGUGAUGAAGGCCUUAGGGUUGUAAAGCUCUUUUACCCGGGAUGAUAAUGACAGUACCGGGAGAAUAAGCUCCGGCUAACUCCGUG
rnacentral:rRNA from 1 species